rfam:Myotis brandtii contig177572, whole genome shotgun sequence.
UGUGCACCAGUGGGGUCCCUCGGCCUGGCUUGCAGGAUCGGGGAGAAACUAGCUCUCCGACACCCCCUAAGUGUUCCUGGAUUGUGAGAGGGUGCAGGCCAGGCCGAGGGACCCCACCGGUGCACG